rnacentral:rRNA from 1 species
GAUGAACGCUGGCGGCGUGCCUAAUACAUGCAAGUCGAGCGAACGGACGAGAAGCUUGCUUCUCUGAUGUUAGCGGCGGACGGGUGAGUAACACGUGGAUAACCUACCCAUAAGACUGGGAUAACUUCGGGAAACCGUAGCUAAUACCGGAUAAUAUUUUGAACCGCAUGGUUCAAAAGUGAAAGACGGUCUUGCUGUCACUUAUAGAUGGAUCCGCGCUGCAUUAGCUAGUUGGUAGGGUAACGGCUUACCAAGGCAACGAUGCAUAGCCGACCUGAGAGGGUGAUCGGCCACACUGGAACUGAGACACAGUCCAGACUCCUACGGGAGGCAGCAGUAGGGAAUCUUCCGCAAUGGGCGAAAGCCUGACGGGGCAACGCCGCGUGAGUGAUGAAGGUCUUCGGAUCGUAAAACUCUGUUAUUAGGGAAGAACAUAUGUGUAAGUAACUGUGCACAUCUUGACGGUACCUAAUCAGAAAGCCACGGCUAACUACGUG